rnacentral:rRNA from 1 species
UACGUAGGGUGCGAGCGUUAAUCGGAAUUACUGGGCGUAAAGCGUGCGCAGGCGGUUUGCUAAGACCGAUGUGAAAUCCCCGGGCUCAACCUGGGAACUGCAUUGGUGACUGGCAGGCUAGAGUAUGGCAGAGGGGGGGUAGAAUUCCACGUGUAGCAGUGAAAUGCGUAGAUAUGUGGAGGAAUACCGAUGGCGAAGGCAGCCCCCCUGGGAUAACACUGACGCUCAUGCACGAAAGCGUGGGGAGCAAACAGG